GCGGCGGACGGGUGAGUAACACGUGGGUAACCUGCCCGUAAGACCGGGAUAACUCCGGGAAACCGGGGCUAAUACCGGAUAACACCGGGGGCCGCAUGGCUUCCGGUUGAAAGGCGGCCUUUGGCUGCCACUUACGGAUGGGCCCGCGGCGCAUUAGCUGGUUGGCGGGGUAACGGCCCACCAAGGCGACGAUGCGUAGCCGGCCUGAGAGGGUGGACGGCCACACUGGGACUGAGACACGGCCCAGACUCCUACGGGAGGCAGCAGUAGGGAAUCUUCCGCAAUGGGCGAAAGCCUGACGGAGCGACGCCGCGUGAGCGAGGAAGGCCUUCGGGUCGUAAAGCUCUGUUGUCAGGGAAGAAGGCGCGCCGUUCGAAUAGGGCGGCGCGGUGACGGUACCUGACGAGGAAGCCCCGGCUAACUACGUGCCAGCAGCCGCGGUAAAAC
rnacentral:rRNA from 8 species